UAGUUAUAUGAAAAUAUAUGUGAAUAUUUGAGUUGGAAUAUUUGAGAGGAGAAAAAAAGAUUUUUCAACGCUAACGAGUGCGCACAUAUUCAGUGUAAUGUAUCGCAACUUCAUUUUAGGCUCGUUCAUUGAAGAGGCAAAUAUAGAAAACCGCGAAGGACAAUAAAGUAUUACAACAAGAAUUCCGACCUCUCUGGCCUUCGGUAAAACUUCUUCACAUGGAAGACCGCCAAGGACAAGAUGCGGUUUCCCCAUUUUUUUUUCACUUUGUAUUUGUCCAAACAUAAAAAUAAUAAAAUAACUAAUAAAAUGUUGGUUAAUUUGAAGAGGCAAAUAUAGAAAACCGCGAAGGACAAUAAAGUAUUACAACAAGGCUUCCCUCAGUUAUUGACGAAUUCUAACGGAAAAUUUAACGAUAAAUAUUGGAAAGCUGGCGUCAACGAUACAUGAUUUGCCUCUUGGCGACAAUCAACUGUAUCCCGAUAAUCACGGCGACAAUUCCCUAUUCACAUCGUUACCUCCAUGAAUUUCGGUUAAAAAUACGAAUUUUGCCCGCAAUCAAGCCAACGUGAUCCUCUAAAGAAAUCCCAACAAAACACUGUCGUAAAGAACAGUGGACGCAUUGGCUUCAAAUACGCAAAGAUUAACAUGGUAUCGAACUAUAUGUACUUUUUAAUUCAUCCCUUAUCACGUUUCCAAGC